rnacentral:sRNA from 1 species
GUCUAGCCCUGAUAGUAGCGGCAUCCUUUUAUGGUCUCGUCAUUACGAGAUAAAAGAUACAGCGGAUAGCAGGAUUAGCU